UACGUAGGGGGCUAGCGUUGUCCGGAAUCAUUGGGCGUAAAGCGCGUGUAGGCGGCCCGGUAAGUCCGCUGUGAAAGUCGGGGGCUCAACCCUCGGAUGCCGGUGGAUACUGUCGGGCUCGAGUACGGAAGAGGCGAGUGGAAUUCCUGGUGUAGCGGUGAAAUGCGCAGAUAUCAGGAGGAACACCCGUGGCGAAGGCGGCUCUCUGGGACGGUACUGACGGCUGAGACGCGAAAGCGUGGGGAGCGAACAGG
rnacentral:rRNA from 1 species